CGGCAGCAGUGGGGAAUUUUGGACAAUGGGCGCAAGCCUGAUCCAGCCAUUCCGCGUGAGUGAAGAAGGCCUUCGGGUUGUAAAGCUCUUUCGCAAGGGAAGAAAACUUACUUUCUAAUAAAGAGUGAGGUUGACGGUACCUUGAUAAGAAGCACCGGCUAACUACGUGCCAGCAGCCGCGGUAAUACGUAGGGUGCGAGCGUUAAUCGGAAUUACUGGGCGUAAAGCGUGCGCAGGCGGUUUUGUAAGUCAGAUGUGAAAUCCCCGAGCUCAACUUGGGAACUGCGUUUGAAACUACAAGACUAGAAUAUGUCAGAGGGGGGUAGAAUUCCACGUGUAGCAGUGAAAUGCGUAGAGAUGUGGAGGAAUACCAAUGGCGAAGGCAGCCCCCUGGGAUAAUAUUGACGCUCAUGCACGAAAGCGUGGGGAGCAAACAGGAUUAGAUACCCGUGUAGUC
rnacentral:rRNA from 1 species